CCCUUAGAUGUUCUGGGCCGCACGCGCGCUACACUGAUGCAUUCAACGAGUCUAAAACCUGCUCUGAUAGGGGUGGGUAAUCUUUUGAAUGUGCAUCGUGAUUGGGAUAGAUGAUUGCAAUUUCUCAUCUUCAACGAGGAAUGCCUAGUAAACGCAAGUCAUCAGCUUGCAUUGAUUACGUCCCUGCCCUUUGUACACACCGCCCGUCGCUCCUACCGAUUGAAUGAUCCGAUGAAUAUCAUGGAUUGAGGAUGCAAGCAGGUUCGCCUGUCUUCAUCUUCGAGAAGUGAAGUAAAUCUUAUCAUUUAGAGGAAGGAGAAGUCGUAACA
rnacentral:rRNA from 1 species